rnacentral:rRNA from 1 species
AUUGAACGCUGGCGGCAUGCUUUACACGUGCAAGUCGAACGGCAGCGGGGAGGAGCUUGCUUCUCUGCCGGCGAGUGGCGAACGGGUGAGUAAUACAUCGGAACGUGUCGAGAAGAGGGGGAUAACCACCCGAAAGGGUGGCUAAUACCGCAUAAAUUCUGAGGAAGAAAGCUGGGGACCUAGGAAUAGGCCUAGCGCUUUUUGAGCGGCCGAUGUCGGAUUAGCUAGUUGGUGAGGUAAAGGCUCACCAAGGCGAAGAUCUGUAGCGGGUCUGAGAGGAUGAUCCGCCACACUGGGACUGAGACACGGCCCAGACUCCUACGGGAGGCAGCAGUGGGGAAUUUUGGACAAUGGGGGCAACCCUGAUCCAGCCAUGCCGCGUGUAUGAAGAAGGCCUUAGGGUUGUAAAGUACUUUUGUUAGGGAAGAAAAGUCAGCUGUGAAUAAUGGCUGAUACUGACGGUACCUAAAGAAUAAGCACCGGCUAACUACGUG